rnacentral:rRNA from 1 species
UCGAGGGGCAGCGGGAGUACAAUACUUGCCGGCGACCGGCGCACGGGUGCGUAACACGUAUAUAAUCUACCUAAAACUGGAGGAUAGCCCGAAGAAAUUCGGAUUAAUACUCCAUAACAUUGCGAGAUGGCAUCAUUUUGCAAUUAAAGCUCCGGCGGUUUUGGAUGAGUAUGCGUUCGAUUAGCUAGUUGGUGAGGUAACGGCUCACCAAGGCGACGAUCGAUAGGGGUACUGAGAGGUUACACCCCCACACUGGUACUGAGACAUGGACCAGACUCCUACGGGAGGCAGCAGUAAGGAAUAUUGGACAAUGGUCGCAAGACUGAUCCAGCCAUGCCGCGUGCAGGAUGACUGCCCUAUGGGUUGUAAACUGCUUUUGUACGGGAAUAAACCCUUCUACGUGUAGAAGGCUGAAUGUACCGUAAGAAUAAGGAUCGGCUAUCUUCGUGCCAGCAGCCGCGGUAAGACGAAGGAUCCAAGCGUUAUCCGGAUUUAUUGGGUUUAAAGGGUGCGUAGGCGGAUUGAUAAGUCAGUGGUGAAAGCCUGUUGCUUAACAACAGAACUGCCAUUGAUACUGUCAAUCUUGAAUAUGUUUGAUGUGGGCGGAAUAUGACAUGUAGCGGUGAAAUGCUUAGAUAUGCGGAGGAACACCGAUGGCGAAGGCAAUCCCCUGGGCCUGCACUGACGCUCAUGCACGAAAGCGUGGGGAGCAAACAGGAUUAGAUACCCUGGUAGUCCACGCCCUAAACGAUGUCAACUGGUUGUUGGGUCUUCACUGACUCAGUAACGAAGCUAACGCGUGAAGU